GAUGAACGCUAGCGGCAGGCUUAAUACAUGCAAGUCGUGGGGCAGCAUGAGUAGCAAUACUUGAUGGCGACCGGCAAACGGGUGCGGAACACGUACACAACCUUCCGAUAAGUGGGGAAUAGUCCAGAGAAAUUUGGAUUAAUACCCCGUAACAUAUAGAGUAGGCAUCUUCUUUAUAUUAUAGCUUCGGCGCUUAUUGAUGGGUGUGCGUCUGAUUAGGUAGUUGGCGGGGUAACGGCCCACCAAGCCUACGAUCAGUAGCUGAUGUGAGAGCAUGAUCAGCCACACGGGCACUGAGACAAGGGCCCGACUCCUACGGGAGGCAGCAGUAAGGAAUAUUGGACAAUGGGCGAAAGCUUGAUCCAGCCAUGCCGCGUGAAGGAUUAAGGUCCUCUGGAUUGUAAACUUCUUUUAUUUGGGACGAAAAAAGGGAAUUCUUUCCCACUUGACGGUACCAAGUGAAUAAGCACCGGCUAACUCCGUGCCAGCAGCCGCCGUAA
rnacentral:rRNA from 1 species